rnacentral:rRNA from 1 species
GACGAACGCUGGCGGCGUGCUUAACACAUGCAAGUCGAGCGGUAAGGCCCUUUCGGGGGUACACGAGCGGCGAACGGGUGAGUAACACGUGGGUAACCUGCCCUCAGCUCUGGGAUAAGCCCGGGAAACUGGGUCUAAUACCGGAUAUGACCUCGUAUCGCAUGGUGCGGGGUGAAAGUGUCAGCGGCUGAGGAUGGGCCCG